rnacentral:rRNA from 1 species
UCGGGAAUUUUGGGCAAUGGGCGAAAGCCUGACCCAGCAACGCCGCGUGAAGGAUGAAGUAUUUCGGUAUGUAAACUUCGAAAGAAUAGGAAGAAUAAAUGACGGUACUAUUUAUAAGGUCCGGCUAACUACGUGCCAGCAGCCGCGGUAAUACGGAGGGAGCUAGCGUUGUUCGGAAUUACUGGGCGUAAAGCGUACGUAGGCGGUGACUCAAGUCAGAGGUGAAAGCCUGGAGCUCAACUCCAGAACUGCCUUUGAAACUAGGUCGCUAGAAUCACGGAGAGGUGAGUGGAAUUCCGAGUGUAGAGGUGAAAUUCGUAGAUAUUCGGAAGAACACCAGUGGCGAAGGCGGCUCACUGGACGUGUAUUGACGCUGAGGUACGAAAGCGUGGGGAGCAAACAGGAUUAGAUACCCAUGUAGUCCCUGAGCGGGCUGGCAAGGCGCAU